rnacentral:tRNA from 1 species
GCGCUAGUGGUGAAAUUGGUAGACACGCUGGAUUUAGGUUCCAGUGCCGCGAGGCAUGGGGGUUCGAGUCCCUCCUGGCGCA